CCUACGGGAGGCAGCAGUGGGGAAUAUUGCACAAUGGGGGGAACCCUGAUGCAGCAACGCCGCGUGAAGGAAGACGGUUUUAGGAUUGUAAACUUUCAUCAAUAGGGAAGAAAGAAAUGACGGUACCUAAAUAAGAAGCCCCGGCUAACUACGUGCCAGCAGCCGCGGCAAUACGGAGGGGGCAAGCGUUAUCCGGAAUUACUGGGUGUAAAGGGUUAGUAGGCGGCAAGGUAAGCGAUAUGUGAAAGCCUUAGGCUUAACCUGAGGAUUGCAUAAAGAACUAGCCGGCUAGAGUACAGGAGAGGAAAGCGGAAUUCCUAGUGUAGCGGUGAAAUGCGUAGAUAUUAGGAAGAACACCAGUUGCGAAGGCAGCUUUCUGGACUGAAACUGACGCUGAGGCUCGAAAGCGUGGGGAGCGAACAGGAUUAGAUACCCCAGUAGUC
rnacentral:rRNA from 1 species